rnacentral:rRNA from 1 species
UACGUAGGUGGCAAGCGUUGUCCGGAAUUAUUGGGCGUAAAGCGCGCGCAGGCGGUCUUUUAAGGCUGAUGUGAAAGCCCACGGCUCAACCGUGGAGGGUCAUUGGAAACUGGGAGACUUGAGUGCAGAAGAGAAGAGUGGAAUUCCACGUGUAGCGGUGAAAUGCGUAGAGAUGUGGAGGAACACCAGUGGCGAAGGCGACUCUUUGGUCUGUAACUGACGCUGAGGCGCGAAAGCGUGGGGAGCAAACAGG